rnacentral:rRNA from 1 species
GGGUGGGGUCCGCGCAGUCUGGCGGGAUUCAACUCGGUGGGAACGGGACGGCCGCGCGGUGUGGGAGGAUCUCCUCGUGGGACCUCUCCCCGAAGCUGGCUGGCCCCAGCCGGGCGCAUUUCCUCCGUGGCGGUGCGCCGCGACCGGCUCUAGGUCGGCUUGGAAAGGCUCGGGGCGAAGGUGGCUCGCGACUUCGGCCGCGUGCUUUACAGCGCCCCCCGCCCCGGACCUCGCCCGCUUCCCGGGGCCGUGGACUAAGUGCUCSSUGCGCCCUCUCUCCCCGCGGGGAGGGACGGGGCCCCCUGCUCCCGGCGCGACUGUCUACCGGGGCGGACUGUCCUCAGUGCGCCCCAACGCGUCGGCGUCGCCAGGGCGGGGAUCGGCUCACGUAAAAGGCGUCAGGGGUCUGCGGGSGAUGUCGGCAACCCACCCGG